AUUUCUUUUUUUUUUGGUUUUGUGUUUUUGUACUUUUUUAAAUUACUUUUCAUAACUUUUAUGAUUUUUAAAAAUAAGUUGUAUAAAACUAUAUGACGGACAGCUGUGAUAUAAAAUGUUUAACGCUAUAACUAGUUUGAACAAGAGAACCAGGCUGUAAUAACACGGACUAUUUUACAUGUAAAUCAUGUUGCAUUACAUUUGUUUUGCGUUCUAAAAACAUUCACAUGUGACUGAUGUAAAUGUGGACGAAGGGCGCGUCUCGUUAUCCAUCACGCUGUUAAAUUUCCGGCUCUCGGCCCCUCACUGAACAGAGCAGACGCAGAGAGAGGUGUGAGUGCAGAGGGAAAGCAAGACCUCGCGCUUGCAGGACAGUACUGCUGACAUUUGGAAAGUCAAGACAUAGGGUUUGUGCAAAAAGCUGAUAGAUCUGUCGUUUGGCGUUUUUUCUUUUUGCAUAAAAGUCACUAAAGAGGUCUGAAAAUCCUAAAGGGGUCUGAAAAGUCACUAAAGGGGUCUGAAAGGUCACUAAAGGGGUCUGAAAAGUGCUAAAGGGGUCUGAAAGGUCACUAAAGGGGUCUGAAAAGUGCUAAAGGGGUCUGAAAAGUCACUAAAGGGGUCUGAAAGUCUCUAAGUCGGCAACACUGGUCUGCACUGACAGCUAGAUAAAAGUCAGCUAAGCUCCGCCUCUCCCCACAAAAAGAAAAAAUUGGCGCCCCCCCUUCCGACCUCUCCUGGUUGAGAACCACUGCCUUAGAAUAUAGCAGCUGUUUCCUUACCUUUGUACCGUCUCUCGAAGUUAAUAAGCCAAAAGAAACGCAGCUUGCCUUGUUACCCAGAACCCAAACGCGGGAAGUCUCCUGCCCUGAAGACAUCAGAAAACGUCCCGUUACGCCUUGACACUGGAGACUCCUUCCAUAGACACCAAACCGCCGUCUCAUCUCACGUCAGCACUUACACACAGUUUCCAGUCUGGAGCGUCCACGAGCUGUUACCAUAGAAACGGUAACGUAUUACAGGGGACUGGUGACGGGAAUGUUAACGACGUGUCAAGUGAACUGACACUGGGGCUUUUUUGCUGCGGUUAAAAGCGUGUAUUGGAUCAGUCUCGGCUCGUGUCAGGAGACAGGACCUCUGAGCACGUUCGAGCGAAACCUAAAUUACCGUAAAUGGUCUUUGAAAAUCCUCUUUAAUCCGUAGGACGCCUUGAAAUCCCUUCAGACGGACAGACGUUAUCGGUAAAACCCACGUCCAAGCGCAAGUCAGACAGCUAGAGCGCCGAAGACUGAAAUGCUCCCUACGUGCGGGGAGAGACGGUUACAUGCACGGACAGUGACGAGGCCAGACCCGCUAGUGAUACUGCGCUCCGUCUAUACUACGCUCUGAUUCCAGUAGAAAAGUGGACAAAACAUGACAUUUUACAUGCCAUUUGUUCUGAUACCUCUUGGUUAGGUCGUGUUUUUUACCCAGACGGAGCACUGCUUUUCUCUGUGUGUGUGUGUGUGUGCUUGUUUAUCUCAUGGUUUGACCCUGUUAGCAUCAACAUUUCUGUAGUCUCUGCACUGCUCUGAUUGCCCUGGGUUUCCCCUCUGCACAUAGUAACGAGUCAUACCUGAACUCCUCUAGAACACAGCUCCGCUGUACAUCUCUAUACGCGCUGCUGCUCGGAAGUUUGUCAACUCUUUCA
ensembl:lncRNA